UUGGGUGACCAACCAUCCUGGUUUGCCUGGGACUGAUGAGUAUCCCAGGAUGUAGGACUUUUAGAGCUAAA
rnacentral:miRNA from 1 species